rnacentral:misc_RNA from 1 species
GAUGAAGAACGCAGCGAAAUGCGAUAAGUAAUGUGAAUUGCAGAAUUCAGUGAAUCAUCGAAUCUUUGAACGCACCUUGCACCCUUUGGACUGCUCCAAAGGGUAUGCUCGUUUGAGUGUCAUUGUACUCUCACACUCUCAGAUCCUUUGGAUUUGGGGAGCAGUGGACUUGGGUGCUUGCUGCUUCCUUGUGGCUCACCUGAAAUGCAUCAGUGCAUCUCUCGAUUGGACAUAGUACGGCGUGAUAAGUGUCUUCGCCGGCACCUCAUAUGAGGGUGGCCGAUCGGGAGCUCUGUGCUUUCAAACCGUCUUCGGACAACGCUGACAACUUGACCUCAAAUCGAGUAGGACUACCCGCUGAACUUAAGCAUAUCAAUAAGCGGAGGA